rnacentral:lncRNA from 1 species
GGACAGGAAUCAGGUGAUCAUGGAGGAUAAAGGUCCUGGAACAAGGAAACAGCAAACCCGAGGGCGGGCGCUCCAAAACCAAAAUACAUGUACUAUUUAUAGAAAAUAUUUUCUGUUUUAAUCUUUUCUUUUUAAACGAGGACUCAUACUUUAAAAAAAAAAAUAAAAAAAAAAACACAUUUAGCAAAAAAAAAAAAAAGAAAAAAGAAAAAAAAGAAAAAGAAAAAAAAAACAGUUGAACUUUAAUUUAUUUUAAGGACUGCAAAUGCCAGUGUAAUUUUUUUAAUUUGCAGUUUCUGUAAACAACUUGUAUAAUAGAAAAGCAGAGAAAUAAAUUUCCCUUCCCUUCAGAUGCACCGCACAUUUGUGUUAAGGCAUAGCUGUUAGUCCCGAUUUGAGAAGGUUUGGGGUGAACGAGGUAAGAAAGAUCUUUUUUCCCUUCCCCGGCCCUUUUCUUGCUCCACUCCCAGCCCUAUCUUCAGAUCUUUCUGCCUCUCAGCUUGCUUCAGAAAAUUUAAAAAUCACACUAGUAAUCAAAACAUACAUAACCUUGGAACAGAAGGAAGUACUGUGGACCAGAAAAAUCCAAGAAUUGUUCAAAAAAAGUGCUACCCUGGAAAAUACCCUUAAUACCGUUGAAAUCGUUAGAGUAACUUUAAGGCUUGUAAAUACAUAGAACAAAUAUUUAAAAACAUAAAAAAGGAAUUGACUCAAUACUAUUUCUUUUCACUUUCAAAAUAUAAGGAACAAAAUAAAGACGAGCAUUGCAAGUUU